GCUACCUUGAGAGUCGAGCGGUAACAGGGGUAGCUUGCUACCCGCUGACGAGCGGCGGACGGGUGAGUAAUGCAUAGGAAUCUGCCCGGUAGUGGGGGAUAACCUGGGGAAACCCAGGCUAAUACCGCAUACGUCCUACGGGAGAAAGGGGGCUCCGGCUCCCGCUAUUGGAUGAGCCUAUGUCGGAUUAGCUAGUUGGUGAGGUAAAGGCUCACCAAGGCAACGAUCCGUAGCUGGUCUGAGAGGAUGAUCAGCCACAUCGGGACUGAGACACGGCCCGAACUCCUACGGGAGGCAGCAGUGGGGAAUAUUGGACAAUGGGGGCAACCCUGA
rnacentral:rRNA from 1 species